rnacentral:rRNA from 1 species
UACGUAGGGUGCAAGCGUUGUCCGGAAUUAUUGGGCGUAAAGAGCUCGUAGGCGGUUUGUUGCGUCGGCUGUGAAAACCUGAGGCUCAACCUCAGGCCUGCAGUCGAUACGAGCAGACUAGAGUGUUGCAGGGGAGACUGGAAUUCCUGGUGUAGCGGUGAAAUGCGCAGAUAUCAGGAGGAACACCGGUGGCGAAGGCGGGACUCUGGGCCGAUACUGACGCUGAGGAGCGAAAGCGUGGGGAGCAAACAGG